UACGUAUGGAGCAAGCGUUAUCCGGAUUUACUGGGUGUAAAGGGUGCGUAGGCGGCAAAGCAAGUCAGAUGUGAAAGACCGGGGCUCAACCCCGGGGCUGCAUUUGAAACUGCCGAGCUUGAGUCCGGGAGAGGCAGGCGGAAUUCCUAGUGUAGCGGUGAAAUGCGUAGAUAUUAGGAGGAACACCAGUGGCGAAGGCGGCCUGCUGGACCGGAACUGACGCUGAGGCACGAAAGCGUGGGGAGCAAACAGG
rnacentral:rRNA from 1 species